rnacentral:lncRNA from 1 species
GACCAAAGUUUGAAAAUGUUUCAAACAGAUUUUUAAAUGGAUUUGAAGUAGGUUUUUGAUUAAAAGAAAAAGAAAAAAAAAGAAGAAGGGACAAAACCUCUCCUUUUCUUUCUCUCCAUCUCGGCCCAGCACCCCCUCCCCUUUCUCCCCUCGCGCGGCCCAGCUCGCGGCGCGGCCCAGUGUCGCCCCAGCCCAACCGUGCCUCCCUUCCCCUCUUCUCUCUCUGACCAGCGGGCCCCAUUCUUUCUCUCUCUGACCGGUGGGACCCUUCCGUCAGCGCCUCCCUUUCUUCCCCAGCGUGACAGAACGGGACUCUAUCGAAUCGGCAGAGAUUUUCUUGCUUCUUUUUGCCAACUGAGCGCUCUAUAAGGUCUCUGGCCAUCUACCGAGCUUACCCUUUUCCAUCUAUACGCUCGGGAGCCGCUCCUAUCUAUCGGGGUGGCCAAUUUAGAUCUCGGUGAACACAACAACGCCGCCGCCGUGGAGAGUCAUCCCUUGAAGCUUUUCCGUGGGAUUUGAUCCAUUGCCGAGUUUAGCGCUGCGGUAGCGAUCCCGCCAAGCUUUUUCUCUCACGUUCUUAUGCUUUGGUUUGAUCUCAAUUGCUCGCCGAACCUUGCGCAGGGAGUUACUGUCCGCCAUCCGCGUGGUCCGCCCGACCCCGAGCUUUCUCUGCCGCGAUAAAACCCCUAGGUGAGUUCCCCUUGCCUCCCUCUAUCUUCCCAUGCUCUCAGAUUCGUUUCUAGUGCCCGGAAUCGCCGGUUCUCUGAGCUCCGACGAAGCUCCGGCCGGGUCCGGCCAUGGCGCCACCGCGCUGGCCCUGUUCCGGCCGGCAGUCCCCUUCUCGCCCCCCUCUAUUUAAUCGUCACCAUCCUUUCGAGAUCUAAUGGACCAGGAUGGCCGAUACCCCUUCGGCUGACAAACUUUCUAAAGAGCCCCUGGCAUUUUUCAAAAUAGAACCCGCAGUCCAAAGCACGUUUUCUAAAAUGCGCUUUCUGAGUUGGAAGACGUAAAGUCUGCCGGCUUGUUUCGGAAAUACGUUUUCAGUAUUUACUAAAAUGCCAUUGAACUUGUUUUGGCUAUAAAGUAUUCAUUUUAACUCCGUUUUUGUCCAUUCAAAUUUCGUUAGAUUCGUAUUUACAUGCUCUACAUGUUAGAAAUAUUAGUUUACUGUUUUGAAACUUUUAAUUCUGCAGUAGCAUUUAAUUAUUUAUUUCUCUAUAGGAAAUCUUGGAAAAUUCAUAUCUUCUACGUUUUAAUUCCGAUUUUUGCGAUCUUUACGUCUAUGAACCCGUAGCGAUGCGUAGAAUCAUUUUAUAAACUUUUCAUACUAUUUUUAUAUGAUUGGUGUACUGUUCUAAUUAUAGUCUUGUUUGCUUCGUGUAUGUUUGUCUCCGAUUAUUUGUGUGUUGAUGAUCGAUGAUCGAGGUUAGACGGUGAGAAAUUCGUGGUGCACAAGAGUACUUCAUUGAUCAAGAUCAGAGCCUUGGACAACUGGCAAUAUCAGCAAGAGCAUUUGGAUUAAGGCAAGUAUAGCAUUUGGAUUCUAUUUCUGUGACCAUGAUCCUGUGACUAGAUUAAUGAUAAGUAAUAAACGAUAAAAAUGACUUUUUAGCAACUUGAUGAUUUAUCUGUACGUGAUCACCCGGGACAACUGUGCAACCAUGAGGGCUAUAAUGGCUCUGGCUUUAGUCAAGUAUGAGUAACGUUUCUAGCUCGUUAGCGGUUACCCGUGUGGCGCAAUUGGGGAAUAGCAGACCGUGGAUUCCUGCGGGUGAAUCACAUGGACUGACUAACGAAACCAAGCGGCCCUAACUUGUUAGACAAACCUUUGAAAGACUUUAUAGUGAUCCCUGCCGACCUCCCUAGGAAGGGGGUUAAGAGAUUAGCUACCUCGGGCGAAAGGGUAAAUCAUGACUCAUGGGUAAAGAUGUGCAACCUCUGCAGAGGGUUAAAAACUAGUAUACUAGCCGAGCUCACGGUCAGGAGCGGCCUUGGGGACAUCUACAUUAAGGGUGAUGAAUCUUGUGUGUUAAAUAUGCUCAUUGUUUAUUGUUUAAUGCUUUACAUUAUUUAUGUCACAUUGAUCAUGAGAUUGUGGGAUCUAUACAAUCUAGUUGCUAUACUUGUGGAGUUCGACAUGGACUCACUCUUGCUAUUUCCCCCAUACAUCAGGAGGAGUGUUAGGCUUGUGAUCAACCAGUCAGUUGGAUCCUGUAGAGUGAAGUUAAUACCCGAAGUUUGGAGUUGUCUAUCCGCUAUUUGCUAUUAAAGGUUAUCUCUUUUAUACUAAGAACGUUAUAUAUUUAAACAUUGUCUUUUGAUAUUACCCCUUAUUUGUAGCUAUUUGUGAGUCUUGGCUUCUAAAACUCACAUAUGGUGCAUAUCUGAUUUUGUCCUUAAAAUCGGGUAUUACAAAGUGGUAUCAAAGCAAUGCUGACUGUAGGACGCAAGCCUAGUUAGAACUGGACGUUUUAGCAUGCUUCUAUCUUUGUUUACCUCUUGCUUUCGCCUUGACCUUGAUAGUUGCUAAAAGUUAUGCUUACCUCUAGCCCAGUUCUUUUAUAAAAUCUUGUCUCUAUUCUAAAUCCUCUCUCUUUGUCCCUUUAGAUGGAUCAUAACGAGGAGACCUUUGACAAGAAAGAACAAAAGCACCCAGAUUUGCCAACCGUAAAAGCAUUCGACAUGGAGAAGUUUCUAGCCAUGCAAACACAAGUAGUGGAAGGAAUAACUCAGAAUAAGAACUCUCAACAACGUAUCUCAGGACCCGUGAGGAGACAAGUAGCAGAAGCAUGGAAAAAUAUGAGAAAUCAUGGAAGCAUUGGGAGUAAUACAUCAGGAUAUCAGGAUCAAUGCCACUGUUGUGAGCAUUAUGGUCUUCCUUGUCUUCGGAAUAUGUCGUCUAAAAAGGAAGUUAAGACAAAACCAACUUGUGUGACUAAUGAGGAUAAGAAGAGGAAGGCAAAAGCACUAGAGCCGACAUUGGGAAGUGAUCAACACCCAAAUCCCAAGAUGUCACAUGUAGCUUCGAAUUCUUGUCAGGAAAACCCAAAACUUGGAGAUGAACAAAUUCCCCAAGCUAAUCCGACUGCUCAUGAGGUAUGCAUAGAUGGAUGGACAAUCACUUACAAAGAGUUUCAACCUUGGAGGAUCAAGCAAUGUAGAAAGAAAUCUAACCAGGCAAAGAUAAACUAUCAGAGUCCGCAAGUUGAUAACACACCGAACAACACUUCUGUGGAAAAUAACAUCACGAAGGAUCCAGCUAAGAGAAGGUGUUAUCACUGCCAACAAGAAGGACAUUAUAUAAGCUCUUUUUCACAAAAGAAGCAACAGAUGCAUCGUGAAAAUAACCACACUAAGUCUAAGAUAUAGGUGUUUGUGUUCCCCGGUGUAAUAAAAACGCUAGUAGCGAAAGUUAAGUUUGUGUGCCUUGUGAACCUUUAAUGCUUAAUUGCUUGUUAUUAUGUUUAUGUUUGAUUUGGAUCUUUGUAAUGAGUGUAAUGAUUUUGUGAGUUCUUCGCAAUUUCAUUUAGUUUAUAGAACUAAGGCAUAAGGUGUAAUGACAUAAGUAGUUGGGUUUGGUUAUAUCCUGUUUCUAUCUUUUGCUGUUUUCUGGAGCAGUCUGCAAUAAUCACAGUGUAUAUCAGGAUCUGUUCGUGCAAAGUUUACCAAAUUUUUCUGGGAACAACUAGACUUCAAGAUCUUUCUCUGACCUCAAGAAUCACCCUCAUAGCUAUUAUGAUUUGGAAGUUACAAAAAUCACAAGAUGAUACAGAUGGGCUGUCAAGAAUCUGGACCAGUUUUGGUUGCCUACUAUUUUAGACAAAUGUACCUAUAGAAUUUGGAAAAGUGUUCUAUAGAAGAGUUGUAUACAAUUUUAUAAGCUUUGCAACAGUAUAAGAUGGAACUUAUUCGGAUAAGUAGAACCUGAGAUAUGACAUUUACACUUGGAUGUUUCUGUUCUGUUUCAAAAUUUGGACAGAUCUGGCAUUUUCUUAAUUUCAGCCAAUUUAACUUCAGAAUCUGGGAAAAUGUUGUAUACGAAAGUUGUAGAGGAUUUCCUAAGAUUUUAAAAAAUGUAAGGAUCAUCUCCAGAUGAGUUAAGCAGCUCGAGAUAUAAUUUUUGGAAGUUACAGCACCUUUGCUGAGACAUUAUCAGGAAGGAUAUUAUGUUUGGUUAUUUUACCUAAGCUUAAAGACAGAAUCUAAUGAGGUCUUCUACAUGAAAGUUGUGGUGAAUUUCAUAAGUUUUCUAACGAUAUAAGCUAUAACUCUAUUGGAUUAACAGAAUGAGGGUUAUACCAGUUUUUCUAUGCUGGUGUUUUUCAUAUCGCGGGAAAAUUUCAGGAUACAUGUCUGUUCUCUUGCACAGAAGCUCUUUGGGAUGUCAUAAGUUCUCAAUGUUAGUUAACUUGUCUGGAAAACAUGCUAGCUACCUUUCUUGUGUCCCCUAGUUGACCUUUCUUAAGGGGGUAGCCCAAAUAAAGGGGUUACAUGGAGAAGAAUUGGAUAAUGUUGGAUGGGUCAAGAGACUCGGUACAGCGAAUUUUAAAGACUGUAUGACGUGUAGCAUUUAAAAAGGUUAUGAGGACUAGUCCCUAAUGUUUCCCCAAUCAAUCUCGUCUUAAGGGGGGUAGUACCCUGGUAUCAGUGGGUGAUGCAUUUUAAAACUAGCUUGAAGUGAUAAUUGUCUUCUGAGAUAUUCUAUGGUUAUGAUCAUCUAUCCUUGCCGUGUUACUGACGUUGGUCACAUGAUGACAGGGAGUGUAAUGUCCCAUGAAUCCGGAGCACAAUAUGAUACCUCUCAUGGAUAGGUGGGAAGAAUAUGAUCAUCUUGCCUUUGAAGAAAGAUGCUAUGAGUAUGACAAAGCUGAGUGUUAUCAAAGUAAUAAUACGGAAGAGCAAGUUGACAUUGAAUCAAAUCAGAAUCCACAACGACGGAAGCGAAAAAGGAAAGCCCGUAAGAAGCCUGCUCACGGAAAUAAAGUACAGCAAAAUUAUAUCACUGGAAGACUAAACAAUGUGGAUAUGAAUAACAUUCAAGGAGUCACCAAAGUGGUGGGUGGUUAUGUUCAAGUGGACUCAGUGUUGGUUUUUGCUCUAUUUGACCGAAGUGCUUCCCAUUCUUUCAUUUCUGCCAACUUGGUAAAAAGAAUUGAGCGGGUGAACUGUCCAACAAGGAAGCCUUUGUUAGUUCAAACUCCAAAGGGAGAAAUACAGGGAGACCAGGUUUGCUCGAAUAUUAAUCUGGUCAUAAGCAAGGAGAACUUCACAGUAAACCCUAUUGUGCUAGAGUCACUCAAUAUUCCUUUGGUUCUUGGCAAUGGAUGGUUAUGUGCACACAAGGCAGUGAUCUAUGCUACCCAGUGGAAACUUUUCUUAACCACACCAUCAGGGAAAAGAAUUGAGUAUCAAGAUGGUCCACUCCUACAUGAGGAGGCAUAUCCAUGCUAAGCUAUCAUGUCUUUGAGUUGUAUAAGUCAAAAGUUGGUAGUCAAGAUGGACAGUGAUCGGUUUAUGAAUAAUAGACACUCUGUGGAAAAUUUGAGUUUAUCUUUGGUAUGCAAGUUGUAAAAGUUGAAAGAGUUAUCAAGAUCUUUAUUAUGUUUUCUCUAAGUGGAUCUGUGUCUCUUUCGAAUCUCGAGGACGAGAUUCAUUUUAAGGGGAUAGAUUUGUAACACCCAAAAAUUUGCUCAUUUUGAAAUAGGUGAAAAACAAUUUAAUUUAUUGUUUUUGUGCUCAUGAAAAUAUAGAAAGAAUAAUAUUUUUCUUUAAAAUAAAAUUUAUCAUAAGGCUUAGCAACAAAUGUGUGUAAAACAUACUGGUGCAUUUUAUUUCUGAGAUGAGUGAUUUUGACCAAAGUUUGAAAAUGUUUCAAACAGAUUUUUAAAUGGAUUUGAAGUAGGUUUUUGAUUAAAAGAAAAAGAAAAAAAAAGAAGAAGAGACAAAACCUCUCCUUUUCUUUCUCUCCAUCUCGUCCCAGCACCCCCUCCCCUUUCUCCCCUCGCGCGGCCCAGCUCGCGGCGCGGCCCAGUGUCGCCCCAGCCCAACCGCGCCACCCUUCCCCUCUUCUCUCUCUGACCAGCGGGCCCCAUUCUUUCUCUCUCUGACCGGUGGGACCCUUCCGUCAGCGCCUCCCUUCUCCCUUUCUUCCCCAGCGUGAC